rnacentral:rRNA from 1 species
UCCAGACUCCUACGGGAGGCAGCAGUGGGGAAUAUUGCACAAUGGGCGAAAGCCUGAUGCAGCAACGCCGCGUGAAGGAAGAAGGCCUUCGGGUCGUAAACUUCUGUCCUUGGGGAAGAAGAUGACGGUACCUGACCAAGAAGCCCCGGCUAACUACGUGCCAGCAGCCGCGGUAAUACGUAGGGGGCGAGCGUUAUCCGGAAUUACUGGGUGUAAAGGGAGCGUAGACGGCGAGGUAAGCCUGAAGUGGAAGCCCGCGGCCCAACCGCGGAACUGCUUUGGGAACUGUUUUGCUGGAGUAUGGGAGGGGUAAGCGGAAUUCCUGGUGUAGCGGUGAAAUGCGUAGAUAUCAGGAGGAACACCGGUGGCGAAGGCGGCUUACUGGACCAUAACUGACGUUGAGGCUCGAAAGCGUGGGGAGCGAACAGGAUUAGAUACCCCAUAUGA